CACGUAGGGGGCGAGCGUUGUCCGGAUUCAUUGGGCGUAAAGCGCGCGCAGGCGGCUUGGAAAGUCGGGUGUGAAAACUCGGGGCUCAACCCCGGGCGUGCAUCCGAUACUGCCAGGCUUGAGGCAGGUAGGGGAGAUCGGAAUUCCUGGUGUAGCGGUGAAAUGCGCAGAUAUCAGGAGGAACACCGGUGGCGAAGGCGGAUCUCUGGGCCUGUCCUGACGCUGAGGCGCGAAAGCUAGGGGGAGCGAACAGGG
rnacentral:rRNA from 1 species